rnacentral:rRNA from 1 species
AACGAACGCUGGCGGCAUGCCUAACACAUGCAAGUCGAACGAACCCUUCGGGGUUAGUGGCGCACGGGUGCGUAACGCGUGGGAAUCUGCCCUUUGCUUCGGAAUAACAGUUAGAAAUGACUGCUAAUACCGGAUGAUGUCGUAAGACCAAAGAUUUAUCGGCAAAGGAUGAGCCCGCGUAGGAUUAGCUUGUUGGUGAGGUAAAAGCUCACCAAGGCGACGAUCCUUAGCUGGUCUGAGAGGAUGAUCAGCCACACUGGGACUGAGACACGGCCCAGACUCCUACGGGAGGCAGCAGUGGGGAAUAUUGGACAAUGGGCGAAAGCCUGAUCCAGCAAUGCCGCGUGAGUGAUGAAGGCCUUAGGGUUGUAAAGCUCUUUUACCCGGGAUGAUAAUGACAGUACCGGGAGAAUAAGCUCCGGCUAACUCCGUGCCAGCCGCCGCUGUAAAAC